ACGCGAGCUGGGUUCAGAACGUCGUGAGACAGUUCGGUCCCUAUCCGUCGCAGGCGGAGGAAAUUUGAGAAGACCUGUCCUUAGUACGAGAGGACCGGGAUGGACGUACCUCUGGUGUACCAGUUGUUCUGCCAAGGGCAUGGCUGGGUACCUAUGUACGGCAUGGAUAAGCGCUGAAAGCAUCUAAGCGCGAAGCCAACUUCAAGAUAAGAUUUCCCACCGCAAGGGUAAGACCCCAGAAAGACUAUCUGGUUG
rnacentral:rRNA from 1 species